rnacentral:rRNA from 1 species
GACGAACGCUGGCGGUGUGCUUAACACAUGCAAGUGGUGCGACGAACCAGAGCUUGCUCUGGGGCAAAGCCGCGAACGGGUGAGUAACACGUGGGUAAUCUACCCCGAUGACCGGGACAACCCGAGGAAACUCGGGCUAAUACCGGAUGUGGUGCGGAGACAUAAGUCUCUUCACUAAAGGUAGCUUCGGCUUCCGCAUUGGGAGGGGCCCGCGGCCCAUUAGCUUGUUGGUGGGGUCAAGGCCUACCAAGGCAACGAUGGGUAGCUGGUCUGAGAGGACGAUCAGCCACACUGGAACUGAGACACGGCCCAGACUCCGACGGGAGGCGGCAGUGGGGAAUCUUGCGCAAUGCGCGAAAGCGUGACGCAGCAACACCGCGUGAGGGAAGAAGGCCUUAGGGUUGUAAACCUCUUUCAGAUGGGACGAAGGUUCUCCGGUGAAUAGCCGAGAGGAUUGACGGUACCGUCAGAAGAAGCUCCGGCUAACUACGUG